GGAAGCUGUAAAUUGAGGAGAUGAAAGAUGCACAGAGACAUGGAAAAAGCUUAUGCAUCUGAUGUUGAGUAACCGUUGUGUUCGUUAGUUAAAUGGUUUAUUAUCUAGAGUAAAUAAUUGAAGCUGACUAUUUAAAUAUGGGCCUGCAUUCUUUUAGCUACUUUGAGAUUGUGUCGUAUGCGUGUAUAUCCACAUGAACUCUCCUUGUGAGUUGUGACCCGAUGUUGUAUCCUAAGCCUGCCUCUUUAGAUUGUGUACUAAAAGUUCCCCACAACUUCUAUGCACCCAUAUCACAUAUUGUAGUGAACCACAUUUCAGGUAACAUUUUUAUGAACUGCUUUCUAAAAUUUCACUACUGUCUGAAAGUAAAGAAGAAAGCUAUACCUGGCACUUCAUAUGAAAUGAAUGG
rnacentral:misc_RNA from 1 species